rnacentral:rRNA from 1 species
GACGAACGCUGGCGGCGUGCCUAAUACAUGCAAGUAGGACGCAGUUGCGAACGGGUGAGUAACGCGUAGGUAAAUGCACAUUAGAGGGGGAUAACUAUUGGAAACGAUAGCUAAUACCGCAUACUAGUAGAUGGACCUGCGUUGUAUUAGCUAGUAGGUAGGGUAAUGGCCUCCCUAGGCGCAGAAACAUAGCCGACCGUGGACGGUGAUCGGCCACACUGGGCCUGAGACACGGGCCAGACUCCUACGUGAGGCCGCAGUAGGGAAACUUCGGCAAUGGGGGGAACCCUGACCGAGCAACGCCGCGUGAGUGAAGAAGGUUUGCGGAUCGUAAAGCUCUGUUGUUAAUGAAACGGUACUUAACCAGAAAGGGACGGCUAACUACGGGCCAGCAGGCGCGGUAAUAG